CAAGAGUGAAACUCUGUCUCAAAAAAAAAAAAAAAAGACUUCAAAAUGCUUAUUAAGCAAUAAAGCAGCAGCAAGUAUAAACCAACAAUGGGGCUGAAAAGAUGCAGAGUCAAGAAAUAUUCCAAACUAAUUGCUUCCUGAACUAGGAAGGGUGUCCAAACAGAGACCUAGGAAGUUUGAUAUAUUCCGGAUCCUUCAACUGCUGGGAUUCCAGAUGAUAAAUAAACUGCGCAGCGGAAUUUGUAUCAACCUAUUCACAGACUUGAAAGGAGUAAGAGGGGUUCUGGGAGAGAAGGUGAGCUCACUUCUGCAGAUGACUCUACUCACUGGCCACACCAUGCUCUAUAAACACCCUGCACCAUCUGUGAUGUCAGCUGCCAGCUGCCUGGAGAAUCUGCCCUGCUCUGGGAGCUUGUAUUAAAACACUCACUUAUAACUCCCUAUUAAUUUUUCACGAGGAGUUAUUUUUAACUUGCUCAAACCAUUGUCUGAAUAUGCCAAAUAUAUUUUCUUAAUGAACGAG
rnacentral:lncRNA from 10 species